UUUCCGUAGGUGAACCUGCGGAAGGAUCAUUACAGUUGGGGCCCCGCCCCGAUCAAGAUACCACCCCUUGCUUUUUGAGUACCUCUGUUUCCUCGGCGGGCUUGCUCGCCGGUUGGACAAAACUAUAACCUUUUUUAAAUCUUCAAUCAGCGUCUGAAUUAUACAUAAUAAUUACAACUUUCAACAACGGAUCUCUUGGUUCUGGCAUCGAUGAAGAACGCAGC
rnacentral:misc_RNA from 1 species